UAUUUUGGGUAAAAUGAAGCGCUUUUAAAGCUGAAGCAUACUUAACAUAUUUAAAAUUAUGUUUAUGCAUGCAGUUAUUGGAGUAUUGAUGGCACGCACUGUGGGCUGCAAAAACCAACAGUAAAUGAGCACAUGUUCUUCAACAGGAAAGGAUACCAUAGCCUCAACUCAAUGACAAUAUGUGACCAUGAAUACCGCAUUUUGGCCAUUGACUCAAAGUAUGGUCUAGCCGCACACGAUUCCUUUGUGUGGAAGCAUUCGGCACAACGAAAGUUUUUGGAGGAGCAAUUUAACCAAAAUAACUUCAAAAAUGUUUGGCUUUUAGGAGAUUCGGGUUAUCCCUUGGAGCCGUGGUGUUUAACACCAUUCAGGAACCAUGAAGAAGGGUCUACUCAAGCUCGGUUUAAUGAGGCUCAUUCUAAAGCUGUGUGGUUGAAAGAACCAUUGGUAUCCUAAAGGGCCGUUGGAAAAUUCUCAGCAAUGACAAGAGAAGCCGUUACCAACCUGAAAAAAUGGCACAAUUCGGGAAUGUAUGUGCAGCGUUGCAUAAAAUAUGCAUACAUUUCAAAGAUGCGUCGUAUUGCAGAGAUUAUGCACGUGAAGCUAUUAACACAGAAGUGGAUAUGGGAAACGAAACUCAUUUAACCAAAAUUGGACACAAAAUUCGAAACCAUAUAAUAUUGGCGCUAGAAAAUACAAUUUGAAUAAAACAAGUGCUUCUAAUUGUAUUCGGCUAAUUUGCAGCUCUAUUGCUUUGACUUCCAUAUAAGCUUUGUGAGCUUCCUCUUUCAUUUCCAUCGACCUCUCCUUCAAAGCUACAUAUAAGCUUGUCUAGUUUUGCGCCUAUACUCUGCUGGUAGCUUUCAAACGCGAUCAUGUUUUCUUUAAUGAGGGCCAGCUUUUCAUCGGCAGCAUCCUGUUUGCUCCUCUUCGUAGCGCUGCGACUAGUAGAGGGUUUCGGUGGAACGUCGUCUUCGUCACUGUAUAA
rnacentral:misc_RNA from 1 species